ensembl:lncRNA
CAGAAAUAGAGAGACACCAGAGGCCCAGCUGGCAUGUAGAUGGGGUGCAUGUGGACUGCAGGGCUCUAAGAUGUUGGCCAGGUAUUUGCUUUUAAGCAGAAAGUAAGAGGCACGUUCCUGGCACUGAGGACACUUCCAAAUUCCAGGCUCUAGCUCCAUGAAGAAGCUCAGCUCUGCCAAACACAGAGAGAGCAGUGUAAGCCAGGAGAGGCCGAAGAAGAUGGAUGCUUUUCUUCUUCAUCUCAAACUUAAAAACUCUGGAGAUGUUUUUUACUCAAACCCGGAAGGUUUACCCAGCGUGGACAAUUUCAGUAAAAAUCAUUUACUUCAGCCUUUUUAUUUUAAUUGAAGCCAUUCUUCUUUUCUCCCAGCUUUCUUUUCCCAUUCUUUUCCUCCUGGUAUUUGACUGUCCAUCUGUAAUUCUGCUUCAGUGUUUGCUAGUUUUCUGUGUCUUGCUCUGCCAGUACAACUGUCAUCGCACGCAUUGUGCUAUGUCCUUUAUGAAACGAUGUGCAGAUAGCAAACAGUCCG